AGCGGCUGAGAUACCGCGAAUGAAUCGCGGUAUGACGGUGUAGAUGAUGGUUAAGUAAUUCGUCAUCCCGCUGCUUGUUAGCGGGAUCUAGAGAUACCGCAACGUCUCACCUAUAGCCUUCAGUGCUCCUUUUUUUGUCAUCCCAGCGUCACGCGUUGGUUUCAACAUUAUAUCAUGAACUUUCUAAAAUUCAUUGAACUGUGCUUUCAAACGGUGGUGCCGGGGUGUGAGUAUAAUGAUUAUCAGUAUAUAAAAGUCAUAGCAGACAGACUUGAAGCGGCAAAUGUUGGCAAAAUGAGGCGAAUAAUAUUCAAUAUGCCUCCGCGUUCAAUGAAGUCCCUGUGCAUAAGCGUUGCGUGGCCCGCAUGGAUACUGGGAAAUCAGCCAACUGCAAGAAUAAUAGUUGCAAGCUACUCUCGGCUGCUUAGCGAAAAGCACUCGCUCGAUACAAGAUGCAUAAUGCAGUCUAGUUGGUAUAGAGAGCUGUUUCCAGAGGUAGAACUAUCCAAAGAUCAGAAUACCAAAUACAAAUUUCAAACAGUGCAGAGAGGAUACAGAAUCGCAACGUCAGUUGGAGGGACGUUAACAGGUGAAGGUGGUGAUUUCAUCAUCGUGGAUGAUCCACUGAGUCCCGCCCAAGCUUUGAGUGAAACGUUUAGAAAGCGUGCUACAAAUUGGUUUGACCAGACUUUAGUAGCCAGGCUCAACAAUAGAAAAAAAGGAGUAAUUGUUCUUGUGAUGCAUAGGCUACAUCAAGAAGAUUUAACCGGGCACCUUCUCUCCAAACCGAAAAACAUAUGGAACCAUACUUGUUUACCGAUGAUAUCUGAAAAUAAGGAGAUUAUCUAUUCAAUCAAAAAGCCAGCGCCUCCUUUUCUUGUUCCUGUCACCCGAGUAACUACAAAUGAGUACAAAAGCUGGAUUACAGCAUCAAGUGCUAGAAUGACACCACCCGUAAUAUUAUACUCAAGAGAAGAAGGUCAGUUGCUAUAUCCCCUCGAUGGAGGAAAAGAAGAAGUUGAGAUGAUAAAGGUUGAACUUGGAAGUUACGCUUUUGCUGCACAAUAUCAACAAAACCCUCUGCCACUUUCAAGUGGUAUAAUUAAACGAGAGUGGCUGAAGCGCUAUAGAAAUUUUUCUGAUAGUCUCUCAUAUGUCACUCAGAGCUGGGACACUGCAGUUUCAACAAGCAGCAUGAGCAACUUUAGCGUCUGCACCACCUGGACAAAAGUGGGCAAUAAAUUCUAUUUACUCGAUGUAUAUCGCGCAAAGCUUGAGUAUCCAAAGCUUAAAGAGCAAGUUUUUUCCUUAGCAGCAAGAUGGACGCCACACGCAAUUUUAAUCGAAGCAAAAACAAGUGGUCAGCAAUUGGUGCAAGAGCUAAAGACAAACAGUGAUUUACCAAUUAUCGAAAUAGUACCACAUGAUGACAAACUCACUCGAUUUUAUCAAAUUGUUCCGAUUAUAGAGUCUGGCAAGGUUUUUCUGCCGCACCAAGCAGUAUGGCUGAACGAUUUUGAGUAUGAGAUUUUAAUGUUUCCUGAAACUCGACACGAUGAUCAAGUGGAUAGUACCGUGCAAUAUUUGCAGUGGGUGAGAGAUAGUAGCUCUAGGGUCGCAGCUUUACGGGCAUUGUGAUUUGAGUCUACCAGAUCCAAGUAGUCAGCUACUUGCAUGACACCCUGACAACCGUCAUCCCGCUACGUGUUAGCGGGAUCUAGAGAUACCGCGAAUGAAUCGCGGUAUGACGGUUCGUGGUGGUAUGACAGUUCGUGGCGGUAUGACGGUUCGCGGCAGCAUGACGAUAAGGUUUAUACCUUGUCAUUCCAGCGCGUGACGCUGGAAUCCAGCCUUUAUUAUGCAGCCUGCUUGGUUAAAAUUAAGUCUUCUGGAUCCAAGUAGUCAGGGCACUGGGAUGACAAUUACCUUAACAAUUUCAAAAGAAGCCUAGUGAGCUAUCAGCUAUGUGUAGCUAACAUUCUGCACGUCCAUAAAAAACAAACCUUCUUUUUCGUCUUGAACGCUAAUAAUAGCGUGAGUGUUAAAAGGUAAAGGAUCAUUUGUAUGUCCAUGGCCUACCCCUUUCAUUGUAAAUACAGGAAAGUUAACACUUUUUGCAAACCUUUCUUUUACAACUUCAACAAGGUUAUCGUUAUAGCAGUUAACGAAAUCCCCAAAGAUUACUGCAUGUACUCCAUCAAAGAUGUGAGCUUGUUUUAGGUGAUCUAAACUGCGCUCUAUUGCGUAUGGGUAGACUCUUAUGUCCUCUAAAAAUAGAAUUUUACCUUUCGCAUUUAUUUGCCAAACAGUUCCUAUACUGUUUUCAACUAAAGUCAUAUUACCACCGAUGAUUUUAGACUUUAAUCUGCCAUCUUUUAGUCUAAUGCCAUUAUUUAUCGUCUUUAGGUUAUCAAAUCUGAUAGAAUCCCGCUUGUUAAGAAUUAACUCUUUCAAUUUUUCAACAGAGCUUUCAGAAACGGAGUUAUUUACUAUCAUUUCCAACAUGGUGCCGUGAAGAGUUUGCCAAUCAUAUUUAGCUUGUAGAUGGAUGUGCAAGGCAGUUAUAUCGCUAUAGCCUAUGAGGAUCUUUUUGUUUUGAGCAAUCCUUUCUUUUUUAUCAUUGGGUAACUUUUCUAGAUAGGGAAUUAACCGAGAAGCCCCUUCUCCUCCUCUGAUACACCAGAUUAUUUUACUAUCACCGGUUAGUGCACUAACCAAAUCAUUUGCUCUGAAUUCAUCAGAGUUGGAAUAAAAUGGAUUAUCAUUACUAUAUAUUUUCUCCGAAAUAUGGGGAUUAAAAUCCAAAGCUUCUACAUAUUCUUUUAUGGUAGUCAGAUCUGAUUCUUUUCCCUUGGAGGAAGGAGCAAUAAUAUCAACUUGGUCGAUUGCAUGAAUACUUGUGUUAGCACAUAAAUAUAUCAUCCAAUUCAGAGAGUGGAACUUUCACUCCUAGUUCUUCCAUUGACGUGACGCCAUAAUCUUGCAGUCCACAAGGAAUAAUACCCUUAUAAUGAGAGAGGUCUGGAAAGACGUUAAGCGCUAUGCCAUGAUAAGUUACCCAUUUUCUUAAACGGAUACCAAAAGCUGCAAUUUUUUUUUCUACUCCAUUGUUAUUCACCCAAACACCUAUUCUAUCCUCUUUAAAUUCUCCAAGUAUAUUAAAUUGCUUUAAAACAUUUAUUAUCCACUUACUUAGGUCUCUAAUAUAUAGCUUUAUGUCGCAUUUAUUUCUUUUUUUAAGGUUUAACAUUAAAUAUAUGAUGCGCUGUCCUGGACCAUGAUAUGUGUAUUUGCCACCCCUGCCUGUUUUAUAUAUAGGAAAUAAUUUUUCAACAACGUCGUCAUCUGUUGCACUGAUUCCUGCAGUAUAAAGUGGAGGGUGCUGGAGUAGCCAUACUAAUUCGUCUGCUGAAUUAUUGUGAAUUUGUUGAAUUUUCUCUUCCAUAGAUUUUACGGCACAGUUAUAAUCAAUAAGCUGAUUAGAUAUUAGCCAUUCUGUCAUGUUCAAUUUCUUUUCUUUUUAGUAUAGCAGUGCGUUCUUUUCCUGUCAUCCCAGUGUGUGACACUGGGCGCAGCCUUUCUUAUUCCUAAUAUACUUAAUACUAACUUCUGUGCUAUUUCUCCUUAACAAACAUAGUACAUGACAAAUGUUUAAUUAUUUGUCAACACAGGUCCUCUUUACGUAUAGGCAACUUUUUUUAUUGAAAAAUUCAGAAAAAUGUUGUAUAAUUAUUAGUAGAUUUUAGAGUGUCUUGCUGGACUGGCUAAAAUAAGAAAUAAGUCCAUUAAAGAACUAGCAGAGAAGCUAAUACAAGAAGCAAUUGAAAAUGAGGAAGAUAAAAUACUAAUUGAGCGUGCUGCUAGACGUAAUGUUUCAGGUGUGAAGAAAAUUAGAAGUGAGGAUGUAGACUGGAAUACAAUAUUAUCUUCAUAGAAAGCGUUCUUGAGAAAGACCUUCCAGCUCUUCCAAAAACAAUAAGAUUAAGGAUCAUAAAUGCGAUAAAUAAGCGCCUUACAGUUGAUCCCAUUAACCUUGGUGAGCCAUUAUAUUACAGAUUUAAAGGACAAAGAAGAUUAAGGGUAGGUGAUUAUCGCGUUAUCUAUUCCGUAAAUAUUAUAAAAUAUGAAGUGGUUAUCACAGAGAUAGGACACAGAAAAGAUAUUUAUAAGUGGCUUCGCUCAGCUCAAAAAAAAAGCUCAUUCUUUUUGCUACCCCUUAUUGUGCCUGCCAUUUAACUACUGUGUAGAGAUUGCUCUCAAACAUAAUGUUCGUACGAGGCACAUAUGAAUUUCAACAUCUUUCAAAGAAAAAAAAGCGCAGUAUUUACUAAAUAUUCUGCUUUGCAGCUAAUGAUGGAGCCAAGUUGGAGUAAGCGUGAUUAUAUUAGGUAGACUGCGUACCGGAACUCCACCAAGGCUUGAUCGUGGCACUAUAAAUUGGUCAAUAUUGCAAGAACAAGUGGGUGAUAAUCCACCUGUGCCGUUUUCUUAUCUCACAGAAAAAAUUAACCAACCUCAGGUCAGCUUCUUCGUAUCUAAGUGACGUUGUUGCGCCAAGAUACUGCCCAUCCAUUGAAGUUAAAGUGAAAAAAUUCGCAGAAAAAAGUAGCCACCAAAUAUUUUUAGAACCAGAAGGCCUGGAUGAUGAUACUGUAUACCCGAACGGAAUUUCAAAUUCAUUGCCCAUUGAAGUGCAGCGUGAAAUGAUAAAGAGUAUCAAGGGACUUGAAAAUGCAGAAAUACUAAGACCUGGAUAUGCAGUUGAGUAUGACUAUAUUGACCCACGAGAGCUGUUUCAUACUCUUGAAACCAAGAAAGUCAAAGGCCUAUAUUUUGCUGGCCAAAUUAAUGGCACCACUGGAUAUGAAGAAGCAGCAGGGCAAGGAAUUAUCGCCGGAAUUAAUGCAGCACUCUCUGCAUUUGAAAAAAAAGAAAGCUUUGUUCUCCAUCGUACAGAUUCGUAUAUCGGUGUAAUGAUAGAUGAUCUAGUCACUAAAGGGGUGAUCGAACCUUAUAGAUUAUUUACCUCGCGUGCAGAAUAUAGGCUAGCUAUCAGGUCAGACAAUGCAGAUAGAAGAUUAACACAAAAAGGUUAUGAUAUUUCCCUUGUUUCGCAUGAGAGAUACUCUGUUUUACAGAAUAAACUUGAAUCCAUUAAGCAGCUUGAAGAGAAGUUAGGGAGUCUGACGAUUACUCCUGAGCAGCUUAGGUCUUAUGGUAUCAAAAUAUCUUAUGAUGGGAUAAGAAAAACGGCACUAGAUUUACUUAGCUAUCCAAACAUCGACUGGAAUAAAUUACAAGAAAUAUGGCCGGAGUUAAGCAGCGUCACGCGCUGGAAUGACAAAAUGGGACACACCAAAGCGGAUAAUAGAGCUAAGAAUGAAAUAUGCGAAGCGGUUGAAAUUGAAGCAAAAUACAAACCUUAUCUAAUAAGACAAGAAGCGGAUAUGAAGUUUUUACGAGAGGAAAUUAACACUCAAAUUCCAAUUGAUUUCAACUAUUCACAAGUUAAAGGCCUGUCAAGUGAAGUAAUAGAAAAGUUGCAGACGAUAAAACCAGCGACGAUUGGCAUUGCAAAGCAAAUACAAGGCAUCACUCCCGCAGCGAUAGUGAGCAUAUUAGUGUAUUUGAGAAACAGGAAAACGAAAGUGGCUGCUAAUUUUGUAUGAGGUGUUCUAUGUCAAAAAUCGAAGAAUUUCGUUCUUUUAUGCACGAGAUAAACGUUGAUGCAUUUAUGUUGCAUACUAAAGAUGAAUAUUUAAAUGAGUAUUCAGAGGAGCUAACAAAGCUGUGUGGCUUUACAGGAACAAAUGGGCUACUUAUCGUUACAAAAGACAACAAGUGCCCAUUUUUUACGGAUGGACGCUAUAUCACACAAGCUCGCAAUCAGCUCGAUCGGGGCAAUUUUCAAGUAUAUAAUAUACAAGAAGAGGAUCCACGCGAAUGGAUAAAAGCAAACUUAACAUCGACUGCCUCACUAGGUUAUUAUUUGCAAUAUUUUACCAUAGAAGAUAUAAGAAAGUAUGAGAAUAUCUGUAAAUUAAUACCCUGUUUAGCUGGAAAAAAAAGUGACUAUCGAAAACAAGCAGUGGUUUUACAUUCUAUUGAACAUGCUGGUGAAAGUAGUAAGGACAAAUGUGAAAAAGUCGCUAAAAGUAUAGAUAAAGAAGCUGAAGCAGUGCUUUUAACUGAUCCAAAUUCAAUUUCAUGGUUAUUAAAUUUAAGAAACGAAAAUGCUAAAUAUACUCCAUGUAUAUUGGGUCGUGCUAUAUUGUAUAAAAGCGGUAAUGUUGAUUUGUUUAUUCAAGAUAAAGAACAUUCAACUAUAGAAGCAAAUUUAGGCAAUCAUAUAAAUAUUUUUGAUAUUAGUGAGCUAGAAAAUUCGCUGCACAAGCUAAAUUCAAUAGUCAUGGAUCCAAGCACAACUCCAAUGAGUAUCAUGGCUGUAAUAAAAGAUAAACAGGUAGCUGAGAGAGAAGAUCCUUGUCUAAUUUAUAAAGCAGCAAAAAACCAAACUGAAAUAGCUGGGGCUAUAAAUGCGCAUAUCAGAGAUGGAGUGGCAGUUACAAAUUUUCUAUAUUGGCUUGAAAAUAAUGUUGGUACAGAACUUGAAGCUGAAGAAAAGAUUUUAGAAUACAGAAAAGAGCAGAAUUUGUUUAAGCAACUAAGUUUUCCAACAAUUUCAGCAUUUAAUGAGAAUGGAGCAAUAAUUCACUAUCGUGCAAGCAGUAAGACGAAUAAAGUAAUUCAGAAAGAUGGACUGUAUUUGAUUGACUCUGGUGGCCAGUACCUUGACGGCACAACUGAUGUGACAAAAACUGUAGCAAUUGGCAAUCCAACUGAUGAACAAAUAACCCACUAUACAAUAGUACUCAAAGCUCACAUUGCUAUAGCAAGUGUCAUCUUUCCUCCUGGCACUACUGGUGGAGAAUUGGAUAUAUUAGCACGUACGCAUUUAUGGAAAUUUGGAAUGGACUAUAUGCAUGGUACAGGGCAUGGAGUAGGAAGUUACCUAUCAGUACACGAAGGACCACAAGCAAUAUCAAAGGGAAAUAAAGUGAAACUCACGCCAGGCAUGAUACUAUCCAACGAACCUGGCUAUUACAUUCCGGGAGAGUAUGGAAUAAGGAUUGAAAAUCUGAUAAGGCUAAUAAGUGUGCAAAUGCUUACUAAGGAUGAAAUUGAAUGGAUAAAUGGCUACCAUCAAUUUGUCUAUAAAAACUUAGAAAAUAGCGUCAAAGAUAAGGAGUGGUUAAAGAAAGUAUGUGACCCUUUAUAAGCAAAGGAGCAUUUUUUAUUAUUUAAAAAGUAUUAAUGCAAUUGUGACAGGUAGGUUAUAAUUAUGAUAGACAAAGGGCAAGGAGAUGAAUUUAUGAAGCAGUAUAUGGAUACUUGCAAAGAGCAAAUAGAAAAAUUAGCCAAGGAUCCUGAAUUGCUUAAUCAGGCUUUAAAACCAUUUAUGCAAAUGUCUCAGCAGCUUAUGGCUGGCGGUAUGUUAGAAGGGGCUAUGCCUGGCAUGAUACCUGAUUUGGGCAGUAUGGAUGUUAACAAGAUGAUUGCUCAGAUGAAGGAAAUGAUUGACUACAUAAGAGGUAACUAUAAGGAACUAAUGAAAGAGCGCAGCUCGCAGAUUCAAGAGCUUAAUGAAUCCAGUAAAAAGCUAAGAGGCUUAGUUAAAAAAUUGAUAGAAAAGAUCGAAAGUAAAUAAAUAACAUCUGGAUUUCUGUCAUUCUAUAUACAACUUUCUAGUUGGACGGUAAGUCGAGGUCAAUUAUUGAUGUCAUGAAAGUAGCUGACACUGGUUCCUUUAUGACGGCAGUGCCCAGAGGUGUCAUCCCAGUGCUUGACACUGGGAUCCAGUUCUUAUUACCUGGUGUAAAGUUAAGUUUCCUGGAUUCCAGUGUCAAGCACUGGAAUGACAGCAAUCCUACGUCAUACCGCGAUUCAUUCGCGGUAUCUUAGUAUAGAUUCCGCUAACAAGUAGCGGAAUGACGGUUUUUCAAAUCGUCGAUGAACCUAAGUCACUUUAGCUAUAGUAUCGGGAACGUAAUUGCACAUUGGUUUUACAAAUUUGAAAAUUAGUGUUAGAUAAAAAUAUAAACGCAAAAGGAAAAAAAAUGAUUGAACUUAGAGGUCCAGAAAUUUGUGCAGGCGGAAAUAAGAAAAAUUUGAUUGUUUUUUUACAUGGUUGGGGCUCAAGUGGCGAUAAUUUCAUUCACCUUGCUAAAGUUAUGAGCAAGUUUUUACUGGGUUCAUAUUUUGCAGUACCCAAUGCUCCGUUUGAAAGAGAAAUAGGUGAUGGUUAUCAGUGGUUCAGCUUGGAAGAUCGUAGUGAGGAAGCGCUAUAUAAUGGAGUAAAAAAUGCUACAUCAAUUGUAAAUCAUUUCAUUGAUACAAAAUUAAAGGAGCUUAAUUUAAAAGAUACGCAACUUUCUUUAGUUGGAUUUUCUCAAGGAGCAAUGCUUGCAAUACAUACAGCUCUCACCCGCUCUCAAUCCUGUGCAUCAGUUGUUGCAUACUCUGGUAGAUUUCUUUCACCUUCAAAAACUGCACCAGAGAUCAAGUCAAAACCUAACAUAUGUGUUAUCCAUGGUGAUGCUGACGACGUGGUACCUUUUUCGUCCCUCGACUUAGCGGUUAAAGCUCUGAAAGAAAAUGGAGUAAAUGUUGAAGGACACCCAAUUCAUGCAUUAGGGCAUAUUAUUAAUGAAGAGGGAAUAAAAUUAGGAGUAGAAUUUAUCAAGAAGAAUUUUAAAAAUUAAUUUUCAUGCACUUGUUUUGCUUUGGUUAUGGAUAUGUAGCUAAAUUUUUAUCGAAAAAAUUACUGAACUUAGGUUGGAAAGUCAGUGGCACAUCAAGAAGUAAAAAUAUACAAGAUGUAAUCCUCUUUAAUUAUGAGAAAGUUAGUCAAGAUCUGCUUAAAAGCGCAACGCACGUUUUAAUUUCUAUUCCUCCAGAUGGCGAUGAUGUUGUGGAGAGAUACGGUGAUUGUCUGCAAAAUGUAAAAUGGCUUGGUUAUUUGUCUGCAACUAGCGUCUAUGGUGAUCACUCUGGUAAUUGGGUGGAUGAGGAAUCUGAAACAAGACCUAUAGAAAUCAGAGGAGAAAAGCGCCUUAAAUCUGAAAAGAAGUGGCUAAAUAGCAAACUGCCUGUACAUAUUUUUCGUUUAGCUGGAAUAUACGGUCCUGGUAGGAACGUGUUAAUUGACUUGCAGCUUGGCAAAGCAAGAAAUGUGAAAAAAGAAGGGCAUUUUUUUUCUCGUAUUCACGUUGAAGAUAUAUCGAAUAUUUUAUUUUCUUCCAUGCAAAACAUAAAACCUGGUGAAAUAUACAAUUGUGCAGACGAUUUACCCACUACACAAUCUGAAGUGGUAAUAUAUGCGACCAAACUUCUCAAUGUUAGCCCUCCAGAACCAAUUGAGUUACCAGAUUAUGCACAGAGUUUUUAUUUAGGAUCAAAGAGAGUAAGUAAUGUUAAAAUUAAAAAAGAUCUUAAUGUCUCUCUAAUUUAUCCUAACUACAAGGUGGGAUUAGAGAGUUUGCACGUAAACAAAACUGAAAUCACAUCAGAAUGAUAGAUAGGCUUAUUGUCACUGCCAUUAAGUUAAGGAAAGAAUGGUUAAAAACUGAACUAAAAAGUCAGAAAUAAGUAUCCGUUCAGCGGAGUGGCAGAAUAAGGUAGACAAGGUGAUCUAAAAAGAUAAUCAUAGAGCAAAAGUGAAA